CCUACGGGAGGCUGCAGUGAGGAAUAUUGGUCAAUGGACGCAAGCCUGAACCAGCCAUGCCGCGUGCAGGAUGACGGCUCUAUGAGUUGUAAACUGCUUUUGUACGAGGGUAAACCCCGAUACGUGUAUCGGGUUGAAAGUAUCGUACGAAUAAGGAUCGGCUAACUCCGUGCCAGCAGCCGCGGUAAUACGGAGGAUCCGAGCGUUAUCCGGAUUUAUUGGGUUUAAAGGGUGCGUAGGCGGUUUGAUAAGUUAGAGGUGAAAUGUCGGGGCUCAACCCCGAAACUGCCUCUAAUACUGUUGGACUAGAGAAUAGUUGCGGUAGGCGGAAUGUAUGGUGUAGCGGUGAAAUGCUUAGAGAUCAUACAGAACACCGAUUGCGAAGGCAGCUUACCAAACCAUAUCUGACGUUGAGGCACGAAAGCGUGGGUAGCAAACAGGAUUAGAUACCCCUGUAGUC
rnacentral:rRNA from 1 species